GCGUUGGUGGUCCAGUGGUAGAAUUCUUACCUACCACGUGGGAGACUCGGGUUUGUUUCCCAGCCUAUGCA
rnacentral:tRNA from 1 species